rnacentral:tRNA from 1 species
UGGCUCAGAGGGUAAAGCAUCUGCCUGUGAUGCGGGAGACCCAGGUUCGAUCCCUGG